GCAGACAAGCACGCUUGGCCUAUGCUUUGGCGUCUUCCGACUUCUUGGCUGCAGCUGUUGUCGUCCCUCUUGCUCGACUCUCUUUCACUUGGGCACUCACUUUGUCCGAACUCCGGUUGCCUACGGUGCUCAACCUUUACCUGUUUCUACUGGUGGCUUCCUGGUAGGCUGCCACAGUUCUACUUGCGUUAUUCACUCCGACUGCCCACGGCACUCAACCUUUACCUGCUCCUACUAGUGACCUCGUAGUAGGUGGCCUUGGUCCUACUUGCGUUAUUCAUCAUCCAUACUCGGGUAUGUAACCGCAUUGUGCAUUUGCCUAGCUUUGGCGGCUAGCGCCUUGUUCUUCUGCUCUUUCGUGAUUGCUAAUUUUGGCUUCUGCAUGGCUUCUAGACUGUUCAGCCUUACUUGUUGCUUGGUGGCUUCAUAGUACGCUGCCCAUCUCGACCAGUGUCCUCGUUGUACUCAAGGGCUCCACGCUCGCCAACCUCGAACUGAUGGUAAGUCCC